CCUACGGGGGGCAGCAGUGGGGAAUAUUGGACAAUGGGCGAAAGCCUGAUCCAGCCAUGCCGCGUGUGUGAAGAAGGCCUUCGGGUUGUAAAGCACUUUCAGUGGGGAAGAAAGCCUUGGGGCUAAUACCCUCGAGGAAGGACAUCACCCACAGAAGAAGCACCGGCUAACUCCGUGCCAGCAGCCGCGGUAAUACGGAGGGUGCGAGCGUUAAUCGGAAUUACUGGGCGUAAAGCGCGCGUAGGCGGUCUGAUAAGCCGGCUGUGAAAGCCCCGGGCUCAACCUGGGAACGGCAUCCGGAACUGUCAGGCUAGAGUGCAGGAGAGGAAGGUAGAAUUCCCGGUGUAGCGGUGAAAUGCGUAGAGAUCGGGAGGAAUACCAGUGGCGAAGGCGGCCUUCUGGACUGACACUGACGCUGAGGUGCGAAAGCGUGGGUAGCAAACAGGAUUAGAUACCCCUGUAGUC
rnacentral:rRNA from 1 species